GCAUAUUAAUAAGCGGAGGAAAAGAAACUAACAAGGAUUCCCGCAGUAAGGGCGACUGAAGUGGGAAGAGCUCAUGAUGUGAAUCGAUGUCUCUGGCAUUGAGUUGUUGUCUAUAGGAUUUAGCGCUAAACCGCCGGGCUGAGUUCCUUGGAAUAGGACAGCUGAGAGGGUGAGACUCCCGUCAGCUUGGCAGUUGAAGCUGUUUCCGACGAGUCGAGUUGUUUGGGAUUGCAGCUCUAAGUGGGUGGUAAACUUCACCUAAGGCUAAAUACUAGUGAAAAACCGAUAGUGUACAAGUACCGUGAGGGAAAGAUGCAAAGAACUUUGAAAAGAGAGUUAAAGAGUACCUGAAAUUGCUGAAAAGGAAGCAGAGGAAACCAGUGUAUAGUCGAGUCAUACUUCCCUUUCUGCUUGCAGUUGGGGCGCUGUGGCUGACGCCGUUACCAUCGAUCUGACUUGAUGUAAUGGUUCUGGAUGGCUUGCCAUUUGGGACUUGUGUGAGGUUGCAUUGUUUGGGAACAAAAUGGUUUUCUCUCCCCCGUCUUGAA
rnacentral:rRNA from 1 species